CAGCUCCUUUUUUACUCACCGCGGUCCCGAUCUCAGACUUGAAGAAGCGACAAAAGCCGGCUCAUCUGGGAUAACAGAUGAGCGUAGAUGAACAGUGUCAGGAGGAGAUCGACUGGAUGUGACUGGAGCUGUGUGGCAUGACAAGUUGCCACGUUUUCAAGUCCACAUGGAAGCGACGUCUGACUGCACUGCAUUUCAUGAUCAUGCGCGUAAGUUUUUGGUUAUCUUGGGACAUGUCAUUUUCACUGUUCCAUUUUAUUUAUUAUUAUAAAUAAGUAUUCACGGACUGAAAACUGGCAGUACACACACAGCACACUUACUCAUCCAGGCUUCUCAGACUGAAUGUGUGCCUUGGCAUUGUUACUGUAGCUCUGAAGGAAGAGGAGUGAAUUGGUCUAUCAGCUUUCCAACAACAACACGGAGUGAAUGGCAAGUUAGAGCAGGAAGGGGACUCUCGCUGUGGCUCCGGGCUUCGCCUUCUAUCUCUCAAGAGGAAGAGCACUAAUGGCUUGUGAAAGCAGGGAUCGAAGGAACUCAUAAAGGCUCUGCAGGACAACGCGAAAGGAGGAACGGCAUUAUUAAUCCUAUUUCAUCAGAAUACAUGUUGUUCUGUGCAACAUAGUGUUUGAGCUCACAAUAUGCGAUUGCAGACGGCUGUCUGUGUGAUGCAAAGUUUAAGGAGGUGGACUUGAACGUAAACUUUUCUCUGGUUUAGCUUUUAGAGACAGGUCUUUGUAGGAAGGGAAACAAGGGCUUCAUAAUUCCAAUGGUUUUGAUGGACCUUGUCUUAUAGCUACACAACAUCAGUAUGAAUGAAGCAUUGGUUUCACUUUGAGAAAUAAAAAGAAAAAUUGCAACUUAUGUGCUGAGUUAUUGUUAACCAUGAAUCUACUUGUAUGUUUAGAUCAAACAUCCAGUUUUACAGUGGCAGCCGCAUCCACAUAAUCUUGUGUUUUUAUUUCUAUUUUACUUCUAUUUCUGGAUUGGAUGGAUUAUUAUGUACAUGAAACUCUUCCAACACUUGUCUGAAACAAAU